ensembl:lncRNA
GGGGCCUGUGUGUCCAUGGCUGCCAGCCCUGGUGCCCACCCGCCCUGCCCCCGCUGGGCCCCGCCGCAGCGCCGCUCUUGAGGCCGCGGAGAAGCAGCUGCGGCACCGACGGGUGUUGGCGGCUGCAGUGCAGGGAGCCUGGAGCGAUGCUGCGGCCCGGCGUGUGCUUGUGUGCCCGGAACCUGCGGCGGCUCCUGCCGGCCGGGGCCAGGGCCGGGGCCGGGGCCAGGGCCGAGGGCGGUGAGUGAGGGGGAGCUGCGCCGGGCUGGCCCUGGGCUCCAGGAGUUGUGCUGGAGGGGAGCGUCGGCGGGGAAGCGCUGCUGCUGGGGCGCUGCUGCCACAGGGCCCUGCUCUGCCCUGGGGCCUGGUUGCUAAGGAGGAAGUAAAGGGAUGGCCACACAUGGGCACCGUCCUCACUAGACCAAGGAGAAGGAUGUGAGCACACCCUUGCAUGGAGAGYRUUUUUAAACAAUUUACAGCAAAGCCAAGCUUUCCCCAUUCCUUUCUGAAUURUGAAGAGAAGAUGGAGCUUCCUGGGCGAUCCAACUACUUCCAACCACCCAAGAGUUUGAUAAAGGAGGCCAGAACAACACUCUCACAGAUGGUGAGUGCUCUAAUAAACCUGGAGCUGGAUGCGCUUCUGUUCAAGAGGCGGUAUUGUUACUGGAGCCAGGUAUUUAAACUGUAGUUAUCCCUGAAUGUCAUGUUGAGAAGGUUGCAUUGUACUUUGUGUCUGCUGGAUGGCUGAUGCUGGCAUGUUGUGACUGAAGCCAGCUCGACUGAAACUUGUAUUGMAAGUUGAACUGGAGGACCCAGAAAUGUUUUGCCUUCUUGAGUUUUCCCUUCUGAGAAUACCAGACCCUGCUGCGUGAGAAUGUAUUUUUAUARGAAUAAAUUUGCAUUUACCAUCA